rnacentral:tRNA from 1 species
GUGGCUCAGUGGUAGAGCUCACAUUUUGAAUGUGUAAGGCCCUGGUUUCCAUUCCCAGC